CAGAGGUGGCAAGCGUUGUUCGGAAUUACUGGGCGUAAAGGGCGCGUAGGUGGCCUUCUUAGUCAGACGUGAAAUCCCCGGGCUUAACUCGGGAACUGCGUCUGAUACUGGAAGGCUCGAGUUCGGGAGAGGAAUGUGGAAUUCCAGGUGUAGCGGUGAAAUGCGUAGAUACCUGGAGGAACACCGGUGGCGAAGGCGGCAUUCUGGACCGAAACUGACACUGAUGCGCAAAAGCCAGGGGAGCAAACGGGAUUAGAUACCCCGGUAGUCCUGGCCCUAAACGAUGAGUGCUUGGUGUGGCGGGUAUCGAUCCCUGCCGUGCCGAAGCUAACGCAUUAAGCACUCCGCCUGGGGAGUACGGUCGCAAGGCUG
rnacentral:rRNA from 1 species